CCUACGGGUGGCAGCAGUGAGGAAUAUUUGUCAAUGGACGAGAGUCUGAACCAGCCAAGUAGCGUGAAGGAUUACUGCCCUAUGGGUUGUAAACUUCUUUUAUAUGGGAAUAAAACGUUCCACGUGUGGGAUUUUGUAUGUACCAUAUUAAUAAGGAUCGGCUAACUCCGUGCCAGCAGCCGCGGUAAUACGGAGGAUACGAGCGUUAUCCGGAUUUGUUGGGGUUAAAGGGAGCGUAGGUGGAUUGUUAAGUCAGUUGUGAAAGUUUGCGGCUCAACCAUAAAAUUGCAGUUGAAACUGGCAGUCUUGAGUAAAGUAGAGGUGGGCGGAAUUCGCGGUGUAGCGGUGAAAUGCUUAGAUAUCACGAAGAACUCCGAUUGCGAAGGCAGUUCACUGGACUGCAACUGACACUGAGGCUCGAAAGUGUGGGUAUCAAACAGGAUUAGAUACCCGAGUAGUC
rnacentral:rRNA from 1 species